rnacentral:pre_miRNA from 1 species
AGGGACAUCGCAAUGAGACUUCUGUUUUUUAUCGAGAUGUCUCACAACGAUGUCCCUGA